GGCGCUGUAGCUGAGCGGCAAAGCGCUUGGCUUCCGAUCCGGCGGCCCCGGGUUCGAAUCCUGGUGAAGACU
rfam:Biomphalaria glabrata isolate BB02 unplaced genomic scaffold LGTN_random_Scaffold10362, whole genome shotgun sequence.